ensembl:lncRNA CATSPER2P1 CATSPER2 pseudogene 1
GCCUUCGUCGGGCGGGCGGGACCAACUCGUUACCGCCGAGUGGCCGGAGCGCGGGGCGGGGCCGAGGCGGCGAGUGUCUGGGCGAGCGUGGCUGGGCCCGGUCCUGGGCUGGGGGCAGGGGCUAGGGCCGGGUCCCGGGCAGACAUGGCCGCUUACCAACAAGAAGGGCAGAUGCAGCUUCCCCGAGCUGAUGCCAUUCGUUCACGUCUCAUCGAUACUUUCUCUCUCAUCGAGCAUUUGCAAGGCUUGAGCCAAGCUGUGCUGCGACACACUAUCAGGAGUUACUUGAUCCUUCCCGCCAGAAGAAACUUAUGUUGGGAGAUCAACACCAGCUAGUGGGCGUCUCUAUAAAGCCUCAACGUAUAGAACAGAUUUCACAUGCCCAGAGGCUGUUGAGCAGGCUUCAUGUGCGCUGCAGUCAGAGGCCACCUCUUUCUUUGUGGGCCGGAUGGGUCCUUGAGUGUAUCCUUUCAUGUCACUCAUUUUUAUCCUGGCUGUUGAUCAUCUGCCUAAUGACUUAUUUUUUGCUUCCCAAACUCCAUUGUCUCAUUCUCACUGCUUAUGUUAUUGCUCUUAUUAUUUCAGCUGCAUAAAUCAGAAAGAACUCCA